rnacentral:rRNA from 1 species
GACGAACGCUGGCGGCGUGCUUAACACAUGCAAGUCGAACGGAAAGGCCCUGCUUUUGUGGGGUGCUCGAGUGGCGAACGGGUGAGGAACACGUGAGUAACCUGCCCUUGACUUUGGGAUAACUUAAGGAAACUGGGGCUAAUCCCGGAUAGGAGCUCCUGCUGCAGGGUGGGGGUUGGAAAGUUUCGGCGGUUGGGGAUGGACUCGAGGCUUAUCAGCCUGUUGGUGGGGUUGUGGCUUACCAAGGCUUUGACGGGUGGCCGGCCUGAGCGGGUGACCGGCCACAUUGGGACUGAGAUACGGCCCAGACUCCUACGGGAGGCAGCAGUGGGGAAUAGUGCACAAUGGGCGGAAGCCUGAUGCAGCAACGCCGCGUGCGUGAUGACGGCCUUCGGGUUGUAAACCGCUUUCGCCUGUGACGAAGCGUGAGUGACGGUAAUGGGUAAAGAAGCACCGGCUAACUACGUG